AUGCUUGAUUGUACUGCUGCUGAUUUGGCUAUUGAAGAUACUCUUUAUGCAUUGGAUAAGGGUGUUCAGGUGGGAGCUGUGCCGUUUGAUCAGUACUUGAGGAGUGUGAGGGUGUUGUCGAGGGAGCAGUUCUUUCACCGGGCUACGGCUGCUAAAGUUAGAGCUGCUCAGUUGCAGGCUCAGGUUGCUAAUAUUGCUGCGCGGAGUCAUCAUUAUGGUAGCUGA
rnacentral:lncRNA from 1 species